UCUCCCGACAAAUCUCUCUAGAAGGAAAAGAAAAAGCUAUUUCUGAAGAGGAAUUCUGCUUCAAAAGUGCUGGCCGUGCUUAGAUGUUUGAGAACUGAAAUAUAAAAUCAUCCAGGUAAACGGAUUGUCCUCGCAUAAAGAAAACCAAUCAGGCAUCAGGAGCCAUCAGUUCCACCUUGAACUCCAAGCAAUGCCUGCAGGAAAGAUAUUCCAGGCUCCCAAAGAAGACUCUGCCUACCUGCUAACACAGGAAUGCCACCCCUCUGAAAUUUCACCCAAGAAUGUCUGGACAUGCUUAGGAACCGUCUGCAGUGUCUAGCCAUCUGCAGCACUUCCUACUGGGGUGCCACAGUGCCACCGGGAACCGUGUCUCUCCUUGUUUGUCCCCUGGAUACAGUUGUUCCCUACAGGUGUGUCUGUGUGCCAGAGGACUGGGCCAGGCACAGACUGAACUGACUCCCCGCCUCCCCCUCAUCGUAGUCAGAGACUCUUCAUGCUCAGUGGCUUCUUCCCUAUGGAUGGGUCUAAGGAGCUGCCCAGUUCUGUCGAUCAAACCGUCUCCAGUAGCUACUCAAGACAAGUUCCUCCUCGGGAAACUCCUCAGCCCCCAACAAACACCUGAGAGGCCUGUCCUGCUUGUCCACUGUGGACAACAGAAGAUGAGUUCAAGGGGAAACUCCAGCACAUGCUCUCACAAAUAAGCUAUUUGUGAAGCUUAUUGAUAAGAUUCUGUCUUUCAAAAACUGGCAAGUGCCUGACCAACAUUUCCUUAAGAGGAGCAUCUAUACCCUGAGUGAAUUUAAAAAGGAUUCCGAGCAGUACCAAAGGAAAAUAGAUCCUGAGCACCUGAUGCCACUCUCUACUCAGAGGCUAGGAAAAUGCAAAUGUGGAUCCUCAGGAGGCCAGGCAUGUAAUUCAUUUGGUUCAUCAGUCACCCAGUCACCAGCCAUUAUUAAACACCUCCAUAUACAUGCUUGGCCCUUUGCCAAGCACUAAGAAUUCAGCUAUGAGUAAACUCUGUUCCUAUAUUUUACCCAGGGGUUAAGGAAAAUUAGGACGGGGUAAACUAUAAGUUGUGCUAUUUUGGUAUGCCACAUCCCUGGGGUUAUUGGUGGCCAUUUUUCUCAUACUUUCUUCAUUUGCUCCUUGACACAGUUUCUGGUCAGGGUGCCAUGCUUCAUUCUGUUGGCAUAUGCAGACUCCAAUAAUUUGUGAAGCAAUAGAAAACCUGUUCUCUCCCAGGGUGUCACCAACCAUGUGGCUGCUUUUUGCUCUAAACUUCUGAGAAGGACUGCCAUGAUCCACACAGGUUCUAAGGACUGCCAUGAUCCACACAAGUUCUGGCAGCCUCUCCUUUUUAUGUCUCCUGGGCCAUCUCAGUGAGAGCUGCACCACUUUUGUAAGAAGGCGUGGCUAGGGGAGAAAGAACAACCCUCAUCAUCAAUCUCGAGCCCCUACUCUGUGCCAAGACCCUGUACCAGAUGCUUUAUGCACAUUAUCCUUUAUUCUCCCCCAACUCUUAUGAGGUAGGCAUUAAUUCCUGUGUUAGUUAAUUUUUUAUUGCUGAGACCAAAAUAUCUGACAAAAACAACUUAGAGGAGGAAGUGAAUUUUGGCUCAAGGUUUUAGAGGUUCAGUCCAUGGUCAGCCAACUCCACUCCUCUGGGCCUGAGGUGGAAGAGUGUGAUGGAGAAAAGCCACCUCAGCUCAUGACAGCUAGGAAGCAGAGGCACAGAGACAGGAAGGGACCAGAAACAGCAUCCAAGGCCACGCGUGGCCCCCACUGACCUACUUCCUCUAGCCAUGCCCACUGCCUACACUUAGCAGCUAGUAGUCCAUUCCGAUUAUUAAUCCAUCAAAUGGAUUAAUCCACUAAGGAGGUUACAGCCCUCUACCCAGUCUUUUCACCUCUAAACAUUGCCUAACACAUAAGCUCUUUGGGGCCAGUCUAGAUUCAAACCAUAACAGUACCCUCAUUUUAUAAAUGGGAAAACAGAGAAUUUCAGAGUUUAUAAACCUUUGGAUCUCAUAACUAAAAGUUGCUGAGACAAGACUCAAAACCAAGUCUACUUAAUUCAAAGGAAAUAAUUAGAAAAGCCCAAGUGAAGAGCAGCCAGGUAGGAACGCGAGCUGAAUUAAAGAUGUUGCGCAUUUGCCUCUUUCUGCAGAUAUGUGUGCAAUCCUCUUGGUUAUUUCACACACACCUGCAUGACACUCCCAGGAGGAGACCUAGAGGAGCCACUGAUUUAAGGGGUCAGAGAAGAGGGACAGUCCUCUGCAGUAGGCACCCUCAUUCCACAGUGUCGUGACAAGCUCGCCUUGACAUAUCCUUCCCCAAGAACGAGCCUGUUAUACACAUUCGCAUAUUAAUGGGCUUGGGGCAUCACCCAGAAGAUCAGUGUCGACUUUCACCGCUGUGUGGGCUGCCUUUGAAACUUCCCCCAAAGUGACCUCUAGCAAAGUCAUUAAAAUCAAUGUGGAGAUCCUGCCUUGGGUCCUUGUCACUCUGGUUCCAGGAAAAAGAGGAACAGCUGAAAUUUACUGAUCCAAAUCCUGGUCACCUGGGAAGGAAGAAGAAAAUACAGCUUGCUUUUGUUAUUUAACACCCUUGGCUAAUUAAAAAGGAAUUGCCAUUUGCACUUAAGGGGAAAUACGUUGAAGGGGAGAAGAUUAUUUUUUAGGUAAACUUUACGCUUAAAAUGCAAUCCUCUGCUUCCUCGACAUUUUCUUUGGAACAAAUAAGAUUUCACCUUGCCAGAUUCUCUGAGAACAGUCAGUCACACCAGGUAAGUGGAAGCCAUUGGCACAUGUUAUUGGUUCCUGUACAGAAGAGGAAACAUGAACAUGCUCUGCACGUCAGCAAAUGAGUCAGGGGCACCCAGGUAUUCAGCAGCAAUGAAGCCUCGCCCAAUAAACCUAUGAUUGCUCAUGAGGAUCAGAGUUUAUUUUUUUGUUUUAAAACUGGCAGUGGGUUUAAUUCUUUAUAGCUUUAGUCCUGCCUUGGACAUUUUUUUUUUCUCGGCCUUUGGUCAUGAUUCUGGGAAAUAAAACUAUCAUGACUUCUCCAUGGGCAA